AUCUCAUGAUGUGGACAAUUCUUGAGCAUCAUUUUGAAACGAUUGAACGCUUCGUGAAAUAACUCACCGGGUUGUUGUCGAAACCCUCGAAUAUCCUUCCUGGCGUU
rfam:Helianthus annuus linkage group 12, whole genome shotgun sequence.